rnacentral:rRNA from 1 species
GACAGAGGUCCCGAGCGUUAGGCGGAAUCACUGGGCUUAAAGCGUGUGUAGGCGGAUUGGUAAGUACCUUGUGAAAUCCCACGGCUUAACCGUGGAACUGCUUGGUAUACUGCUUAUCUUGGGCCACUUAGGGGCUACCGGAACAAACGGUGGAGCGGUGAAAUGCGUAGAUAUCGUUUGGAACGCCAAUGGUGAAAACAGGUAGCUGGGGAUGUGCUGACGCUGAGACACGAAAGCCAGGGGAGCAAACGGG